UAUAUACGUAUGUGUAUUUUUACCAAGAGCACAAUUUUUGUUAAGAUGUAUCAAUUUUUGUUUUUAUUGCGUUUGAACUAAUUUUUUUAUUACCAAUGCGUUAAACUGUGUUUAUGUUGAGCCUAUAUUGGAGUUCUUAGGUACUAUAACCAAUGAGCAACAGCAGCAGCAAUAGCGGCUGAACAUACUUGUGUUUGUUGGCUUUUUUUUUUUUUCUUUUAUUUUGUUGUUUGUGUUGACGCAGUGAUUGCUCGUUGGGGUUAAGUUUACUUAUGAAAAUUAGAUGCGAUCACGAUUGCCAACAUGUCCGAGGUACGCAUCCGACCCCGUCAAGUGCUUGUGCUCAUCAUAGUGUUUAUCUUUGUGCUGCUCAUGGUGCAUCGUAACGGUAAACGCACCUGCCAAGGCCCCGAAUAUCUGCAGGCUAUGUACACAAAAUCUUUGACGGACACGUUGCCCAAAAUCUAUGCCAUAACGCCGACGUAUUCGCGGCCCGCACAAAAAGCCGAACUGACCAGGCUCUCGCAUUUGUUUAUGCUGGUGCCAAAUCUGCACUGGAUCAUUGUUGAGGAUGCCAAUAGCACAACGGCUCUGGUGCGUAAUGUACUGUUGCGCGCCGGUCUGACCGAUCGGUUUACCCAGCUGAAUAUCAAGACGCCGCCCGAAUUUAAGCUGCAGGGCAAGGAUCCCAAUUGGAUAAAGCCACGUGGCGUGGAGCAGCGUAAUCUGGCAUUAAACUGGCUGCGCAGCCACGCCGAUGUGGAUCGUCAUGCGAUUGUCUUCUUUAUGGACGAUGACAAUUCCUAUGCGCUGGAGCUGUUUGUUGAAAUGUCAAAAAUCAAGCCGGGACGUGUGGGCAUUUGGCCCGUCGGCCUGGUCGGCGGUCUGAUGGUGGAACGGCCGCUGCUCAAUGAGGAGAACAAAGUGAUUGGCUUUAACGCUGCUUGGCGGCCGGAGCGUCCAUUUCCCAUUGAUAUGGCAGCAUUUGCCAUCAGCAUGGAUCUGUUCUUCAAAUAUCCACAGGCUGCCUUCUCCUAUGAGGUGCAGCGCGGCUAUCAGGAAAGCGAAAUCCUGCGCUAUCUGACCACAAGUGAUCAGCUGCAGCCGCUGGCAAACAAUUGUCGCGACGUUCUCGUUUGGCAUACGCGCACCGAGAAAACCAAACUCAACGCCGAGGAGAUGCUCCAACGCCAGGGCAAACGCUCCGAUGAGGGCAUUGAGGUUUAGGCAUCGGAUCCAUCCAAGAAUUUAUGUUAAUAUUUAUUUAUGCCUCUCAAAGCUAGGUAAAAAAAAAAAGACAAUACGAUACGAUACGAUCUGCUCAGCAACGUUAGGCGGGCUGAAUUAUUCACUAACUAUGUGCACUUACCGGACAGUACUUGAUCUGGUAGCGAUCGAUGGGCUCACCAUUGUCAGCGGGCACGCCCCAGCGAAGCUCAAAGUGAUCCGAAUAGGGUGAGACGACGACCGGUUCCUCCUUAUCGUUCUGUACGGGGCUGUGCAAUGGCUUGGGCUCCUCGGGCGCGGAACGACGCGGCGUCGAUUGCUGUUGAUUCACACCCCAAUUGCCAAGACCAACUUGAUUGCGUGCCGCAAAACGGAAA